GGGGAUGUAGCUCAGUAGUAGAGUGCUCACUUAGCAUGUGUGGGGCCCUGGGUUUAAUUCCCAGUACUACAA
rnacentral:tRNA from 1 species